GACGAACGCUGGCGGCGUGCUUAACACAUGCAAGUCGAACGGAAAGGCCCUGCUUUUGUGGGGUGCUCGAGUGGCGAACGGGUGAGUAACACGUGAGUAACCUGCCCUUGACUUUGGGAUAACUUCAGGAAACUGGGGCUAAUACCGGAUAGGAGCUCCUGCUGCAUGGUGGGGGUUGGAAAGUUUCGGCGGUUGGGGAUGGACUCGCGGCUUAUCAGCUUGUUGGUGGGGUAGUGGCUUACCAAGGCUUUGACGGGUAGCCGGCCUGGGAGGGUGACCGGGCACAUUGGGACUGAGAGACGGCCCAGACUCCUACGGGAGGCAGCAGGGGGGAAUAUUGCACAAUGGGCGGAAGCCUGAUGCAGAAACGCCGCGUGCGGGAUGACGGCCUUCGGGUUGUAAACCGCUUUCGCCUGUGACGAAGCGUGAGUGACGGUAAUGGGUAAAGAAGCACCGGCUAACUACGUG
rnacentral:rRNA from 1 species